rnacentral:rRNA from 1 species
UACCAGCACCCCGAGUGGUCGGGACGUUUAUUGGGCCUAAAGCAUCCGUAGCCGGUUCUACAAGUCUUCCGUUAAAUCCAGCUGCUUAACAGAUGGGCUGCGGAAGAUACUAUGGAGCUAGGAGGCGGGAGAGGCAAGCGGUACUCGAUGGGUAGGGGUAAAAUCCGUUGAUCCAUUGAAGACCACCAGUGGCGAAGGCGGCUUGCCAGAACGCGCUCGACGGUGAGGGAGUGAAAGCUGGGGGAGCAAACCGG